UUAUCGGUACGGGUUGUGGGAGCAAGAUCCUGGAGAUGGAUUCUGAGACAUGAAUCCAGGCCCUACGGGGCGCAGCAGGCGCGCAAACUUUACAAUGCGAGCAAUCGUGAUAAGGAAACCCUGAGUGCCUGUCGAUGCAGGCUGUUCAUAUAUUUAAAUUGUAUGUGAAGAAAGGGCAGGGCAAGACCGGUGCCAGCCGCCGCGGUAAUACCGGCUGCUCGAGUGAUGGCCACUAUUACUGGGUUUAAAGCGUCCGUAGCUUGAUUUUUAGGUCUCUUGGGAAAUCUUUUGGCUUAACCACAAGGCGUCUAAGAGAUACCGGGAAUCUUGGAACUGGGAGAGGUAAGCCGUACUUCGGGGGUAGGAGUGAAAUCUUGUAAUCCUCGAGGGACGACCUAUGGCGAAGGCAGCUUACCAGAACAGCUUCGACAGUGAGGGACGAAAGCUGGGGGAGCAAACGGGAUUAGAUACCCCGGUAGUCCCAGCCGUAAACAAUGUGCGUUAGGUGUGUCGGUUAUCACGCGUAACUGAUGCGCCGAAGAGAAAUCGUGAAACGCAUCACCUGGGAAGUACGGUCGCAAGGCUGAAACUUAAAGGAAUUGGCGGGGGAGCACCACAACAGGUGGAGCCUGCGGUUUAAUUGGAUUCAACGCCGG
rnacentral:rRNA from 1 species